GACAGAGGUGCCAAGCGUUAGGCGGAAUCACUGGGCUUAAAGCGUGUGUAGGCGGGUCGUUAAGUACCUUGUGAAAUCCCCCGGCUCAACCGGGGAACGGCUGGGUAUACUGGCGAUCUCGAGCCACCUAGGGGCAGUCGGAACAAGUGGUGGAGCGGUGAAAUGCGUAGAGAUGUGGAGGAACACCAGUGGCGAAGGCGACUCUUUGGCCUGUAACUGACGCUGAGGCGCGAAAGCGUGGGGAGCGAACAGG
rnacentral:rRNA from 1 species